AACGUAGGAGGCGAGCGUUAUCCGGAGUGACUGGGCGUAAAGCGCGUGUAGGCGGUCAGGCAAGCUGGGUGUGAAAGCGCCAGGCUCAACCUGGCGAGGCCAUCCAGGAAUUCGUGGCUGGAGGCCGGUAGAGGAGUGCGGAAUUCCGGGUGUAGCGGUGAAAUGUGUAGAGAUCCGGAGGAACACCAGUGGUGCAGACGGCGCUCUGGGCCGGACCUGACGAUGAGACGCGAAAGCGUGGGGAGCGAACGGG
rnacentral:rRNA from 1 species